rnacentral:rRNA from 1 species
GACGUAGGGCGCAAGCGUUGUCCGGAAUUAUUGGGCGUAAAGAGCGUGUAGGCGGCCCGGUAAGUCCGCUGUGAAAGUCCAGGGCUCAACCCUGGGAUGCCGGUGGAUACUGUCGGGCUCGAGUCCGGAAGAGGAGUGUGGAAUUCCUGGUGUAGCGGUGAAAUGCGCAGAUAUCAGGAGGAACACCAAUGGCGAAGGCAGCACUCUGGGACGUGACUGACGCUGAGACGCGAAAGCGUGGGGAGCAAACAGG